rnacentral:pre_miRNA from 1 species
AUUAUACUCCCUCCGUUCAAAAAUACUUGUCAUCAAAAUAGACAAAAAGGGACGUAUCUAGAACUAAAAUACAUCUAGAUACAUCUCCUUUUAUCCAUUUUGAUGAAAAGUAUUUCCGGACGGAGGGAGUAAUAU